GUGUUCCCCUCUCUUUCUCCCUGCAGUGAAGGAGAUUGACACGACGUUGACCACCAUCAUUGUCUCAGUGGUGGGGGGAGUCAUUGGCCUGUCUAUCCUUGGCAUGGUAAUCAAGGCCUUGGUGAUUAACUUCCUGCUGAAGGAUGAUGAGAAGAACAAAGAGUGUCUGGUGAGCUCAGGGAAUGACAACACAGAAAAUGGACAUUCAGGAGCCAAAGCAGAUAACAAAGGGACACCAAAGGCAUGAGCAAAAUGCAAAGUAUGUCUGUAUGUUUGUAUAUAUGUUAGACAAAUGUACACGCUCAGAGAAAAUGCUGUUCAGUGGACUGUUUUAUCUUACUAGCGGCUAACAUGUAAAUGUCUAUUUUAAAUCAUGCUUGAGAUUUGGGGAGGGGGGAAUGUGCAAAAACCCUAAAUCCUUCUCUCACCUUCACGAAAGCCCGUUCGUUACACAGUGUGCAGCCUAAGUGAUUCAAAAAUAUGCUCUAAUAUCUGACACUUUUCCUACAGUAGAGCCUUAAGUGGCGUCCAACAGAGAGGUGCAGGAAUUAUGAGUCUGUAUUUUAGCUUAUCAGGGCUCCCUUGCCUUGGAGGGUCAGUUGUUCUUUGAAUGAGUUUUUGGUUAGAUUCCUGAAAUAAAGUCUGUGUGGGUUCACACAAGCUUAUGAGCUGUUCACGUUUUGUUUAAAAACAUCAAAUGAGUCAGCAAACACACAACUUGCAAAAAAAGUAAUCAUGCCGAACAUUAGCCGCAUUUGGCAUGUAAGUAUUAAUUAUUUCAACUUUGGCCUAGUUUGCAGCUGCAACCAAUCAGAUAACAGCUCUAUGUAACGCUAGCAGGCGAGGUAACCAUAGAAAUUAAUUUAACUAGCGGUUUUCUACCAAAGACUCUGCGCCCUACCCUGCAGUGAGCAAAGAACAAAGGGCGCCUCAUGUGCAGGCAGCUUUAGAAAUGGAGAUUAUCCCACUGAAGAAUAUUUGUACGUAUCAUACAUGUUUGCCUCAAAGCUUAUUUUGUGCAUAUUUUCAAAGUCUAUUUUAAACAUCCCAUUGGCUUCUAGUCGAGGGUGCCCUUGUGAAGCUAAUUUAGAGUUCAGACUAAAACAAUUAGUCAUCACUGCACCACUCUGUUCACCCUUUUACAAAAUGUAUUGAGGAACGACUUUGAGAAUCCUCAGAUGUAGUUUUAAUUGCAUAUUCCAAAUGUCAAUAAUCAACUGCCAACAGUUUUGUUAGAUUCUUCCAUUUAGAGUCAAACUUGGACCCAAACAAACACACUUUGAUGACAUAAGGAAAUGCCACGAUCUAUGAACUGCCAUGACGUCGACCGACCGAAGAACAGCACAGAAUACAGAAUACAUAAAACCAGAGGACCACUCAGCCAGAGUUUUGAUAAUGAAGUUAGCCAACAUUUUCUGGUUUUAAUCAAAUAACAUUUACAUUUAGGUACAAAUAAUGUGCUACUAAUCAAACACUGUUUACAUUUGUUUGUUUGCUAGUAGUUGUUUUUAAAGGAUUUGUUGACAUUGUGGUCCUUUGUCAUAAUUACUGCCAAUGCAAGCUUCAACUUUACCUUGCAUGUUUACAGCUGGGUCCAGGUUUGACAUGUGGUUGUUUUAUUAAAGCCAAAAAUAUGUUUUUGAUCAACUUUACGUCUUGCUAACUCUGACAACGGGCUUUCUUAGGUGAGAGAAGGAUUGUAUUGUUUUGCUUUAGAUGAAACACUGGUGCCUGUUCUGCUUCGUCUCCCCCUGCUGGUGGGAGGACAAAAAACACAAAACAAUUAUUUAAAAAAAAAAAAAUCUACCAACCCUAUCCUUCAUCAAAGACAAUCCCUAGACUACCCAGCUCCCUAUAGAAAUGAAUGAACUUAAUCAUGCUGCUUCUGACUAAUAACCAAUGCAUUUUUAGCAUGUGCGCAUUUUAUAUAACAUCAUAUAUGUAUAUGUUGUCUAGCACCACAGUACAUGGACAUUUAUGUGUGUCUCUAUAUGAUCCCAUUUAACCAUUCACGUUAAUUGACCGAAGCUCCGUCAAUAAGCACUUCUCAACACUGCUUUUCUGACCCCUUUUAACUAAAGGUGGCUCCUAUGUAAUAAAAUAAUUGCCUGCAGGUAAUUGUGGGAAAGAGAGGGUGAAAUACAUUUAACACCUACAGAAAAAUAAGAACAAUAUCUUUAAAUGUGACUAAUACAAUUCAACCAAUCUGCUAGAAAACCUUAAGAACAUGUCACUUUUGUUCAUUGGCAUAAUUAAUCACUUCUGUAUGUCUGCGCUUAUGUGGUUACCUUUCCAAACACAAACUUGCUCCUAGAACACUUUACACAUAGAUGUAUUUGUGCUAAAAAAUAGUCCAUUGAUAGUGCCUCAGUAAUGGAGGCAGCACAGCAUUGACACAGAUCACUGAAAGAAUGUAAAGACUGUCAGGGAAUAGAUGUUAAAUAUUGUCCAAAAAAAUAUUAUAUUUUAAUGAAUUCUAAAAGUAAUAUUCAAUAUAUAAAUAUAUUAUUAUCAAAGGAAUGUGUGAAUAUCCCAAAAGGCCAGUGGUUCAUUCUUCUUCUUCGUCGUUUUAUUGUGAUCCCACCAAGACUUUAAGUGUGUUGCUCAGUUCAUUGGUUACUUGCUGUGACUACAUCCAGGAAUGUUAAGCAUUGAAGAUUAUAUUCGUUUUUUGCUUUUAACUAAGUCUGGUGUCUUAGCACUAAAAACAUGCAUUGGUGAGAACAGAUGAGGAAGUGGCGAAUAGUAAUGGUAGAAUAUUUAGAGAAUUUGUUUCAAGAGAAGAGAUAUGGAUAAAGUUCACAAAGCCUUCAUUACUUCUUCUUCAUCUCGUGAUAAACAAACAUGGAUCAAUUUAGUGCUGAGAGGCCGACUGGGAACUAGAAGCUUCUCUCUAUGCGACUCAGUGCGAGAAGUCACCUCUUUGAAUAGCUAUAACAGUGGAACACUACACAAAAACAUACCUAGUCACAUAAGACCCACUUCUUUGAGUGUCGUAAACUGGCCUUGUAUUCAAACAACACAGCACUUUAACACAAUCCAGAGUGGGUGCACAACACAGGAAGUGACUUCUGAAUGGUCAUUCUUUUAUAAUUUUUUACAAAAGUAAACUAAAUCCAAGUUGCUCUCGUACCUCACCACAGCAUUGUGUGACUACAUGUUGGAUCAGUUUUACUGGAAGAUGUUAUUUCUUCGUUCUAAUCUCCAUCAGCCUGAUGCGCUCUAAAACUGGAGUGCAUCUCCCUUCUUGCUUUCAAUGGAAGCAAUAAGACAGACAACAGAUUAUGCAAUAACCUGUUAUAGGGCACUUUAAAGAGGUGUCUGGACUGGCUUUGAUUGAAACUUUUUCUGUCCAUGACACUUUCAUUAUACCAAUGUGUGUAUCUACACUGUGCAAUGCAUGGACAUUAGAUUCAAACUGUGCAUUAGACAGAUGUUUCUGCUUUGGAAAACUGUACUAGCUACUAACAUGUGACUGUUCAGUGUUAGAAGUGAUACAGCGUCCUUGAUGUGAUAUAAAACUGUGAAUGUUAUGGAUAUAAGAAAGCACUACAUACGGACACACACACACACCCACACACUUGCAUCCUUGUCUCAAAAGGUCUUGUGCAUAUGUCUCUGUGAAAAGGGUACACAUGUACCUUCAAAGUCUUCCUGUAGGGAAAAGCAAUUUUGUGGUGUUGGUCUGUCUGUUAGUGUUAAUUUCUUAACUCAUGCUUUGACAUAGCAUAACAAACAGGUGGAUUAGUGUAGGGAAUGUGAUGCAUAACUUGUAUAUUUGUGGAUACAACAUCCAUUGUGUGAUCCCUGUUUUUCUGUGACUUGAUUUUUUUUAAUGUUUUCUAGAGGGAAGCCCAUUAAUAGAGAUUUGUUCUGACUUUAUGUGGAAGUAAGAAUGUAUUUUUUUUUUUUUAAGUAAAACAACUCAAAAAGUGUAAAACCAUGUCAAAAUAUUCCCAGAAAACCAAAUUCAGGUAUAUGGGAUGUAGUACCCUGUGGAAAUGUACUCAAACGACCAAAAGCAAAGGCUGAUUUUUAAUAUUUUUCUCAUAUGAGCCCAUUUGUACACCUGCCUGUCUUUAAUAUCUGAACCUUAUAUGAGUCUUGAGGUCUGUUUACCGCUUAUAUAGUGAUUGCUGCAGUACUGAGUCUGCCUUGUACAGUGUUGGAUGCUUCUCUGCAGUGGUGCAAUACACACCGAAAAUACACAAUGACUGCCACCCAGUGGUAAACGCCUGCCACAUACAAGCUAAUGAAACAUAAUGCAUUCUAUGAUUUCAGAUUGAAAUGGAAAACAAACACUGCGUCAAUAAGGCUAAGAUUUCCUUGUAUGUAAAUGACUACACUUUUCACAGUGGAGGAAACAUAAACCUCAUUUUAAAUGCUUUUAGAUAAUGCUUUUAGUUGGAUUGUUUAGUAUACAUCAUUCUAAUCCCUGUGCCCAUUGGGCGUUUAAGAAAAAUGGGGGACGAGUGUGUAGGAAAAGGAAACAUGCAACUAUUUGUUCAAACGUGAAUCCUUUAUCAAAUUGCUCCCCUUGUGAGCAUUGAAAAGUUACCUUUAGUCUCAGUGUUAAAGUCGCAUGUCUAACUAAAGGAACAGACUGACCACGAUGAUUCCUUAAAGCUAGUAUUGCUCUUACUGCCAGAGCGGCUGAAACUCAUACUGCCAAUCCAAGAGUCUCACGUCUGCUGUACACUAUAUUACAAUGACUCUCGACGUCCCUUAGUACACUUACAAUUUACUGAAACAUGUUGCAUUGCCGUCUACCGCUGUAUUAAAAGUGCUGAAUGAUAUUGCUCUGUAAUACUUCUGUAUCUGUAGCAGCUGGAACUCACACUGCCAAGCCAAGAGUCUGAUGUCUGCUUCCCACAUUCCACACAGAGAAAAGAGAUCGAAAAACGGAUUUAAUGCCGGCGUAAAAUGUAACUUGACUCCUAUCCUGAUCCAAUGGGAUGAUCAAGGAAAUAGGAGCAACAUGUUACUUAUUUUUGGCAAUUGUUUUCCUAUUCAGAAUCAAAGGAUUAUAGUUAGGAACGCCAAACAAUGAUGCAUUGUCUGACUUGUUGCGUGUCGAAACUGAUUAUUUCAUAGGCUAGCUAGCUCAACAUUUGAAAUAAAAGCACAGGCUUAAACCGAACUCUUCACAUUUUCCCUCUGCCGUUCUGACUAUUUCAACCAUAUUUUGUACACAUAGCGGCUGUCAUUAAAUUAAAAACUCACUAAUAGUACAGUAUAGAAAUUAUAGUGUUUUAUAGAAGUCAACGUCUUGCAGCAAGUGACUUUAUCUUGCAAACAUCAGUACAGUCUAUUCAACAAGUACACAACACAUCCCCAGGUUUCCCCUGAUGUCCAGCUGUAUGUCUGUGUUUGUGUUCAUGUUGCUCAUGCUCCCUUCAUGACUAUGCAGCCCUAACUUUUGACUUGUUAAAAAAAAUACAUACUGGAAAUAAAAUGUUGUUUGAAAUUCC